rfam:Triticum aestivum genome assembly, contig: Triticum_aestivum_CS42_TGACv1_scaffold_320996_4BL
UUAUUACUUCCUUCGUCUGAAAAUACUUGUCAUCAAAAUGGAUAAAAAGAGAUGUAUCUAGAACUAAAAUACAUCUAGAUACAUCUCCUUUUAUUUAUUUUGAUGAUAAAUAUUUUCGGACGGAGGGAGCAAAAA